rnacentral:rRNA from 1 species
AUUGAACGCUGGCGGCAUGCCUUACACAUGCAAGUCGAACGGCAGCACGGACUUCGGUCUGGUUGCGAGUGGCGAACGGGUGAGUAAUGUAUCGGAACGUACCUUUCAGUGGGGGAUAACGUAUCGAAAGUUACGCUAAUACCGCAUAUUCUGUGAGCAUGAAAGCAGGGGAUCGAAAGACCUUGCGCUCAUUGAGCGGCCGAUAUCAGAUUAGCUAGUUGGUGGGGUAAAGGCCUACCAAGGCGACGAUCUGUAGCGGGUCUGAGAGGAUGAUCCGCCACACUGGAACUGAGACACGGUCCAGACUCCUACGGGAGGCAGCAGUGGGGAAUUUUGGACAAUGGGGGCAACCCUGAUCCAGCCAUGCCGCGUGAGUGAAGAAGGCCUUCGGGUUGUAAAGCUCUUUCGGCCGGGAAGAAAUCGCAUAGGCUAAUACCCUGUGUGGAUGACGGUACCGGAAUAAGAAGCACCGGCUAACUACGUG